UGUAGUUUAAAUCGAUGUGGUUUUGUUUGUUGGUCUGUAAUGCAUCUUCUCUAAAGGUUUUCAGAAACAAAGGGAGUACACAACUACAUUUUCACAUCCAUAUUGCAUGCUGUAGGACGGGAUGAAUAAAUCUGAUUGUUUUCAGGCAUCAGGGAAUCUACUUAUAACCAUCCUUCCUCGCUCACAUUGUUCAUUCCUACCUGGAAAAAUGUCUCCACAUGCUGUCGGGGAGCAUCUUCCUUGAGGACAGGGGGCUUCUGAAAUAGCUGAUCUUGUGUUUCCACCGAUGAGCAUGGAUGAAAAUGAUUUCCACCACUUUCUGCCCACAAAUCCUCAGUUAAACACCACCUCACUGCAGGAGAUGCUGGGAAGAGCCUAAGCAUGUGCUCACCGAGUACAUGGACUCCAACAGCCAAUAGUUGGUGUGGCCUUCUUUAUUUUGUUAAACAGUUAUGAUACAUCUGUUUGUAGUUUCCU